rnacentral:rRNA from 1 species
CCUUCCUACGGGGCGCAGCAGUGGGGAAUAUUGCACAAUGGGGGAAACCCUGAUGCAGCGACGCCGCGUGAAGGAAGAAGUAUUUCGGUAUGUAAACUUCUAUCAGCAGGGAAGAAAAUGACGGUACCUGACUAAGAAGACCCGGCUAACUACGUGCCAGCAGCCGCGGUAAUACGUAGGGGGCAAGCGUUAUCCGGAUUUACUGGGUGUAAAGGGAGCGUAGGCGGUGCGGCAAGUCAGAAGUGAAAGCACGGGGCUCAACUACGGGACUGCUUUUGAAACUGUUGAACUAGAUUGCAGGGGAG